CCCUCCCCGAGCACGAUGCCGCGCAGGAAUGUGAAAGGCUCCCGCUCGCCGCCAUUUUCUUUCUUUCUUGGCAGGCAGCGAGUGGGGCAGGAAGCGGUGGCCGAGCGAGUAUGGCGGACUAUUCCACGGUGCCCCCUCCUGCUUCGGGCGCUCCCGGGGGAGGCGGCGGUGGAGGUGGAGGAGUGAACGAUGCCUUUAAAGACGCGCUGCAGAGGGCUAGGCAGAUUGCAGCAAAAAUUGGAGGAGAUGCUGGCACAUCAAUGAAUUCAAACGACUACGGUUAUGGAGGACAAAAAAGACCUCUUGAGGAUGGAGAUCAACCAGAUGCUAAGAAAGUUGCUCCUCAGAAUGACUCUUUUGGAAAUCAGCUACCACCGAUGCAUCAACAGCAAAGGUCUGUGAUGACAGAGGAGUACAAAGUUCCAGAUGGGAUGGUUGGAUUUAUAAUUGGCAGAGGUGGAGAGCAGAUCUCACGCAUACAGCAAGAGUCUGGCUGUAAAAUACAGAUUGCACCAGAUAGUGGAGGCCUGCCCGAAAGAUCAUGUAUGCUAACUGGAACACCAGAGUCUGUUCAAUCAGCAAAAAGAUUACUUGAUCAGAUAGUUGAAAAGGGAAGACCUGCACCUGGCUUUCAUCAUGGUGAUGGACCUGGAAAUGCAGUCCAAGAAAUUAUGAUUCCAGCAAGUAAAGCAGGAUUAGUUAUUGGAAAAGGUGGAGAGACAAUUAAACAAUUACAGGAGCGGGCAGGUGUCAAAAUGGUCAUGAUUCAAGAUGGUCCACAGAACACUGGUGCAGACAAGCCCCUUAGGAUAACUGGAGACCCUUAUAAAGUUCAACAAGCCAAGGAAAUGGUGCUGGAGUUAAUUCGUGAUCAAGGUGGCUUUAGAGAGGUGCGCAACGAAUAUGGGUCAAGAAUAGGAGGAAAUGAAGGGAUAGACGUUCCAAUACCACGAUUUGCUGUAGGUAUUGUAAUUGGAAGAAAUGGAGAGAUGAUAAAAAAGAUACAGAAUGAUGCUGGUGUUAGGAUCCAGUUUAAGCCAGAUGAUGGAACAACUCCAGAUAGAAUAGCCCAAAUCACAGGGCCUCCUGACAGAUGUCAGCAUGCUGCAGAAAUUAUUACAGAUCUCCUUCGAAGUGUUCAGGCUGGUAACCCUGGUGGACCAGGACCUGGUGGUCGAGGAAGGGGUAGAGGCCAAGGCAACUGGAACAUGGGGCCUCCUGGUGGAUUACAGGAAUUCAAUUUUAUUGUUCCCACUGGCAAAACUGGAUUAAUCAUUGGCAAAGGUGGUGAAACUAUUAAAAGCAUAAGCCAGCAGUCUGGUGCUAGAAUAGAACUUCAAAGAAAUCCUCCACCUAAUGCGGAUCCAAACAUGAAGAUGUUUACUAUCCGUGGAACACCCCAGCAAAUAGAUUAUGCACGACAACUUAUAGAGGAAAAGAUUGGCGGUCCAGUAAAUCCAUUGGGUCCACCUGUUCCCCAUGGACCCCAUGGUGUUGUUCCUGGCCCACAUGGACCUCCUGGGCCACCCGGUCCUGGUGCUCCCAUGGGACCGUAUAACCCAGCUCCUUAUAAUCCAGGGCCUCCUGGCCCUGCACCUCAUGGUCCUCCAGCUCCAUAUGCUCCACAAGGAUGGGGAAAUGCUUAUCCGCACUGGCAGCCACCAAAUCCGCCAGAUCCAGGUAAGCCAGGAACAGAUCCCAAUUCAGCAGCGUGGGCAGCUUAUUAUGCUCACUACUAUCAGCAGCAAGCACAGCCACCACCUGCAGCCCCUCCUGGUGGACCAGCUACAACCCAAACUAAUGGACAAGGAGAUCAGCCAAAUCCAGCACCAGCAGGGCAGGUUGACUAUACCAAGGCCUGGGAAGAGUACUACAAAAAAAUGGGUCAAGCAGUUCCUGCCCCUGCUGGGGCUCCGCCAGGUGGUCAGCCAGAUUACAGUGCAGCAUGGGCUGAGUACUACAGGCAACAGGCAGCAUAUUACGCCCAGACAAGUCCACAGGGAAUGCCACAACAUCCUCCAGCACCACAGGUUUGAUCCAGCCAGUAUAGAACUAGCUCUAUAGGGGUGAGGAGGACUGUGCUGUGUAUCAUCCUUGAUUGUUCCUUCAAGGAGCAUUGCACUUACUCCUGAGACAGCUGUAUUAUUCAGUGUUUUAAAGUAUGCAUAUCGUAAUAUUGAAGUCUUUGGAACCACUUGUUAGACAGAAGUUGUAUUUGUCUUCAGAUAGUUUGCAGAUAUGUAGUGAUGUAGGUAUGUUUUAAAUAAUUCUAUGACUGUUACUUGCUUUAUCUUUUGGAACACCAUAUUGUUGCUUUGAGAAUAAAUUUUUUUAGGGUGGCUGCACAGAGAAUUAGAAGUUAAGGCUUGAAAAUUGAAGUAGUUUAUUCAGGUAAUUAGCAAUGUAUGUAUUGUGCUGUAGAAAUAGAAGGAAUUAUUUUUAUCCCUUCUAAAAUUAGGAAUUAUUUUGGUAGCUUAAAAAAGGCUAGGACGGUAUUUGCUAUCUUUAGUGUAGGGUAUGAAGUUUAAUAGUUCAGAUAUUUUGCAUGGUAUUUUAUAGAUAACCUUAUAGAAUGGUGCAUUUACUAUGUACUAAACUGAGCAAAAUUAAAUUCACUGGAUUCUUUAUCAUUCACAAAAUGGAGGCUGUUGAUUUUGAUUCAUUUAAGGUAUAAAAUCUUUAUUAAUUGCAAACAGUGCAAUUAUUUAUACUUCACAGUGCCUUCCCUGACCUUCCACCUUAGGUUCUGCUGCAAAAAAGCAACAGUGCUGAAGAUGCUGCAAGCACCAAAUCAUAGCUCAUAGAAUCAGGUCCUGAGAUAGUUACUACCAGUAAAGAGGAAUCCUUUGAGUGUAUGCCAUUGGUGAGCCGAUGAGCAUGGACCAUAGAAGGGCUCCAUGUAGAAGGUAAAAUUGGCAAAAACAUAACAGAUUUGAAAUGUAUCCCAUACAUAAUGGUGUAGGGUAUAAUUUUUGUUUUGAUCACUUUUCAUUCUUUAAAGUAUUAUUUGUUUGACCAUAAAUGUUCCAUAAUCUGUUAAGUUUUUUAAACUGUGAUUUUAAUAAUAUAAACCAUCUAUUUUAACUUCUAUUCUUCUAAACAGCCAAGCUUAGCUAUAUUGAAUUUUUGAACUAAAUUAAUAGUUGUGCUUCAGUUUCUCAAGCCACUUAAUAUUUCAUGUAGUUUAAUAUGUAACUUAAUUUUUGACGUGAGAAAAGGUUAGGUGUGUACCAUUUGGAUUUUGAUACUGUGAAUUUAGUGUUGGGGUGAGUCAUUUGUUCACUUCCUUUUACAUGAUACUUUUUUCUUCAACUCUUGUUCCUAAAAUAUCUUGCACAGUCUUUCAAUUGUAAAUUCAGCCAGUGGAAGGAGAUAGAGAAGAAAAAGCCAGUUUAUUGGAAUGUUGCUAGUGUGUGGAAGAUGAGGUGUUCUUGUGUGUAGCAUUUGAGGUGUAUUGACUUCCAGCUUUCUCACUGCUGGGCUUACAGGCAUGCUAUUUUUGUGCUAAGCAUAGUGUUUAUUUUUCAACUCUGUCUCAAAACUCAGUAGUUCUUAGGAGAACAGAAAAUAGAUUAUUGGAGGUAUCCUGAUCCAAAAAGAUAACUGGACUUCCUUAGAAAUGUAAUGAACUUGUCCAAAAGGUGUGUUAAAAUGUUUCCUGCUUCCCCCUGCCCCGCCCCUGCCUUAAGAGUCCCUCAAAUUAAAUAGAAUGUGAAGAGCACAAAAAGUUUAAAAAGAAAGCAUAAUAUUCAAAGUAGGAAAAGCAUUUUCAUAUCACUUUCUGCAGCCUAUACUUUAAUAGGACAUGAAAUAAAAUGUCAGGUGGAUAAUCUUCAGUCUAGCAUGAUCGUAAGUCAUCUCUUUAAGUUGUCUAGGCAGACAGGAUCAUUAUUCACUUGCACAGCCUAUCUUGAAAUAUUUAAUCUUUUUAGUAGUGGUAUUUUAUUGGAUGAUGGAAACUGUUUCUCCCCUGUUCUCUUCCAAAGUAAUUUUUAAGUUUUCCAUUGCAUGUUAAAAGCUUUUUAUUUUGCUUUUUUUCUGGAAGUGGGGGGUGGAAGGGAGGACUGGGCUUUUCAGAAAGCAUACAGUUGACAGGAUUCCCUCUUCCCUAGUAAUAGCUUAUAAAACUCUUAUGUAUGCACAAAUAUUUCUCUUGCGUGCAUGUGAAAUGCCUUUUCGUCCUGAGAAAAGUGUUCUCUGCAGAAACUACCCGUGUGUAAAAAGAAGAUUGGCUUUAAAAGGCAACUGUGAUGGGAACAGUGUCUUAGGGAGAUGCAGCUUGGACUUGAGGUAAAUUGAAUGCUUUACAAAAAUGUGGUUUUGAGCUUGCAUUGACAUUGUAUGUAAUAUGGGUACACGUUAACUGUAUAAUGGUUUUUGUAUGGUUUUUCUCAAUAAAUGUAAACUGAUGG